UUAACAUUCGUUGAGCACAGCCUCCCCCUGGCAAAACUCAGUGAGGCUGCAAGGAGCCUGGAGACUUGCACAUGCUCCCAAGUUGCUAGCAAGUAGCUCCAAAAAUUAACUUAUCAGCCUUUCAAUACAUGCAUCUCACCAACCACCCAGUCCUACUCCUCCGCCUUGAAUUCAACAGCAUGGAGCCAGAGGUGCCAUUACCAAGCUGAAUUAUGAGAGAGGAUAUUAAAGUCACAUCUUCCCCCCAACUCUCCUUCCUUCCCUGUGCUAUAGCCACAUAGCGUUGCUCACUCCAAAAUCUCUCUGCCUGCAGGAGCCCCCACAUAAAAAACCCACCCCUCAGCAGGCAGGCAGGAACUGUUGUGAAGUUACAGGGCACUUGCCACAGGUAGAUCCAUGCUCUAUCAAUGGAGUCACUCAGCCCAUUCCCACAGGAAACAGCUUCAAACUAUUAGCUUCAGCACUGAAAACCUGCUGCCACCUCCCAGAUCAGGCAUAAGAGCAAUUGGUGGGUCUCAGGACACAUGCCCAGAAAUAGGAGCUUUGCUGCUAUUUUUUCCAGCCCCUGCUGCUUAUAGCCCUAAACAGGAAACCCUAAUCCUUUGCAUGUGAUGUCACACCCAUCACCCCAGCAACCAAGGUGAUGUCAGAACCAGAACUUGGAUUUGAGAGCAACAGCAGGUGAAGUGAUCAGAGAAGAGGAGCUUGGCUCCCUGCCAACAGCCAGAAAAGGGGGCAUGUCAUGGUGCCCAAGGCAUGCAGGGUCCUGCCCCUCCACUGAGUGAGGCACAGAAAAGAAGCGGAGCACAGUCAUUCCAAGAGGGCUCUGGCACUAGGGCUGCUUGCCCCUCCAGGUUCAGUUUUCAAGCGACAGUAGGGGCAGACUGUUCUCACCAGGCAGGUGCAGUUCUUCCACAGGCUGAAGUCAACUACUCUGACUUGGCCUGGUGACACUCCCCUACUGGAAACCACCUCCCUCCCGCAAACCACGGAUGGCAGUGCCAGCUCUCAGUAAUGUGUGAAGGGGGGAGCUGGGACUCUGCGGGAAGGGGCCCUGCCUUCCCUGCCCCCCCACCCCACACACACAGAGGUCCCCGUGUGCCCAGGCAGCUCUCCGAGCCACUUCACCACAGCUUGGAGGGGGGCUAGGACCCACCCACAGUGCAUAUCUCCAGCAAACAGAGGGGAGAGACACAGCUCCCACCAUCAGCGCGCCCUGUAGAGGCCUGGAGGGCCGCGGCUGUUGGGGCUUGUUUCAGCACAUAGGAAGUCAUUUUAGCCAGUGGUUCCAAGUAGGAGCCUAGUAACAUCCUGAGAGAGCACAUGCUGGAGCAGUGGCUGGCAGAAUAUGCUUGUGGCUCAGUCCAAGUGUCCAGACUCCAACUAGAAAAGGGAGAAAAGCAGCCCACUCCAGCUGGAAGUGCAAAACUGAUUUAACUUACACCCUCCGUUAAAACAUGCCCCAGCCCCUUGCUUUCACCCCAGCCUGUGCUGCCCAAACAUGCUGGGGAGGAAAGCAACACUAGAAUGGCUCCAGCUAUUGCUAAAGUGCUGGAACAAACCCUGGCCUUCGUACACAACCCCCCCAUAGGCCACAGCUUGGCAGAGCAGAUGCCAUAGCAGGGCAAGUGGCCCCUGCGAGGAGCCAUUAAAGGGGCACCACGUACAUGCCUGGUAAUCCCUAAAGCCUGCACCAGCACAAGAGGAGGAGGAGGAGGAGUUAAACACCAUUGUUCACAGCCUUAGUAUCCUCGGUGUACCUGACAGCACUUUGGUCGAGCUGUGUCUGCACUUCCCCUUGCACGUGGGGCUGCCACAGCAAUAGGGUGUGGACAACCCACUUCUAAAGGCAGGAAAAUGCAACAGUAAAUCCACAGACUUCAGCAGCUGUGGAGGGAGGGGAUGAACUGAGGGCAGGAGGGAUUAAGAGCAAGUGAAUGUGGGGAGCAUAAAGGCUGGUGGGAGGCAGGGGGAGCAAUGCAUGGAGGGCAGAAUGAAGGCACCCUGCAUGGGCCCUGGAAUUGUGUUUAGAACUAAUUUGCUGACCCUGACUAGCACUGCAGCUGAUGGGAGGCCUAGCCUGUGCUUGCUGAUGGGCAAUCCCAGCUCCUGCACCUGGCAGCAGAUUGAGAGGGGCUGGAGCAAAUCAGAUAGCAGAGGUGGGUGUUACAGAUGAGCCUCCACAAGGGCACUGAUUCAGAGAAAACCCUGGUAUGCAGCCACCCUCCCAUGCUAGCUGGAGUCCCUCCCAGCAGGAGGCUGCAGGGCAUGGGUUAGAUUCCCUUUUCUAGGGCCUCAGCAGGAGCAUGCCUGCAGUUUCCAGCAAGGGGGCAAGUUCACCUCCAGCCAGGCAGUACUAGCACCCAGCCAUAGCAUGAACCCAUGCAGUCUCUUAUGCUGAGGUAUUGUCCCAGAGAACUGCUCCCAGCUGAGAGCCAUCCUCAUUGUCCAGAUGGAGACAGUCCAGCAGCAGGAUUUGACUGGGGUUAUUGGAGGGGGCUUCCCAGGGAGAAACAAACACUUUCUCCACCAGUAUGCAAGACCUGCUCUGCCCCAGGGAUAGGAGAGUGUCUGUACAGUCAGGCUCUCUGUGGUUUCGGGCUGGAGCAGGCCCCUGUGCUGAGGGUAAGCCAACCACUGUGUUCUCCCUUCACAACCCCAGGGGAGACAGCUCCACAUACCCUCUGGCGACCGAGCUGCUACCCCUUUCCAGCCGCCUUCCUUUCCUUCAAGUGGCCAACGCUCCCUGCUGGCUGGACAGGGCUAAACACUUGAGUGCCCCUCAUGCAGCUCAGACAAGUGGCUAGGAGCACCCAAAAACAAGUCCCAAGGCCCCCAGUGAGGGGAAGCUGAGGGUGAGCUGCUAGAGAGUGGCUCAGACGGAGGAAGAAGGGGGAUCCUGAAGUUUGGGAUGGGCACUGCCCAAGGCACAGAGUGGGAGCCAGGCCCCAUUGGCAGAGCUACACCCAGGAUUCCUGGGGAGCUUAGAUGCAGCAGGCAGACGAACGUGACUGGUAGGUGGAUGCCCAGGGGAGGGCUCUCAGUGUUCAUAGCAGAAACCUGAUCCAGGCCUAUGGAAGUGCAAAAUUUACAGAGGAGCCACCCUGGCCCAAGAGAGGAAAGCACCUUUCACUCCUCUGCAUGCUUAUGGCUCACCAGGCAGCCGAGAACCCAGGGGCUUGGCUGGGCUAAUCCUAGGCUCCUAAACAGACCUGCCAAACCCACAAGAGAAAAAACAGAAUUUGGGCUUGUUUUUUGGCUUAAUUGACUUGUGAAUUGCUUGUUAGCUAGUUUUUGUUUUCUAGUUUGUUGCUUCUUUAUUGUGAUUGGCUCCUGGGAAGCAGGGGCAAGGGGGGGGGGGAAGAGUCAGGGGUGCACAGAGGGCUCACCACAGUCCCAGACUGCAGGCCGGGGAUCUAAUCACCGAGUGUUGGGGUUCUUAGGGACUGGCUUGUUUUGAAAUGGGAUUAGCUUGAUUUUUGGCUUAUUGUGAAAGUCGGAGAGCUAAUUUACCACGUGAAAGUUGAUGACUGUACUCCUGGGCAAAGCAGCACAGCUCUCCCCAAGCAGGUUUGUGUACCAGGCUGCUAGGCAGAGACGGCGGGAGAAGGAGGCGGCAGCGGGCAGUGUGUUGUGCUCACUGUAUUCACCUCUGCACGGCAGCAACAGACAUGACAUAACUUACAUUUAACAAAAA